rnacentral:lncRNA from 1 species
CUGCCCAUUCUGCAUCCUUGUGGGGUCUUUAAGGAGGUUUGAAAUUUCCAUUUGGCGGGCAACAAAAUAGCAGUGCCAGAAGGUGUUUUUCAUUAAACACAUCCAGGCUGAAGCCAGGGCUGUCUCCGGAUUCCUGGGCUAGUUUGUUCUAUUUGACAAAGCAAGCGGAGACAAAGGAAUUGAUACAACCGAAACCGCACACAAGCAGAUCAGAGAACUCACAGCUCCCUGCUGAGGAUGAAGAGCCCUCCUCUGAAUUCAGCUUGCCUCCCAGUUGCCAUGGUUACCUCUCUGGUUUCCAGACAGAAACUUUCUGAAGUUCACAAUGUAUCCCGACUUCUCUUCCCAGCAGCAACAAAGGGACUGCAGAUGUGUCCUACCAUGCCUGGCUUUGACAUGAGUCCCGGGGAUUUGAACUUGAGUCUUCAGCUUGUACAAUAAGCAUCUUAUCAGCUGAUCUAUCUCCCAAGCCCAGAGAUAAAACUGCUUGAAGACAUAUCUGGAAAAGAACUAUCACCAGUCCAUUCAGAACACAGGCACAUGCAGCUUUAUCAAUGACUAUAUUGAUAGCAGUAUUAGGAUUGCUGACAAGGUCUUUUUAAAAAUAGAAACCAGUUCCUUGUUUUGGUUCACAAAUGCAUGAGACAGUCUCAUCCCAGGAGAGGCAAAAGUGCAGCCUCUAAACGCUCGUCAGCCUUAUUGUGAUCACGUGACAGCGCUGUUGCAUCCCCACCACCCCUUUGUCCCCCUCCACCCAACCCCACACAGCAUCCCUCACCACCAUCUGACCAGAAGCCCAUCGAUUCCAUCAAACUCAGCUGGGCGUGGCAAGGGCUCUGUGCACCAAAUUACAAAGUCUUAAAAACGAAAAGUUAUCACGCACCCAUCCCAACCCCCACCGGGAGUAUCCAAGGGUAGGGAAAUCCCACAGGAGUUGAAAGAAGAUACAGACAGAUCACAGAUGCUGUGACUCUAAGGGGGGUGGGAGUGCUUAGCCUCUCUGUCACCUCUCUCCACCGCAGACAGGCUCCUCAAUGUGACCUUUAGAACGCAGAUGCCACCUGGUUGGAAAGGGUGACUGGAUGCCCUCCCUGCCACCGCCCACACGUCCAGCCAGGAUGGCUUGUGAUCUCACUUUGCUCCUAGGAUAGACAGUCCCACAGCAUAGUCACCUCGGAACAGGGUCUUAACCACUAGCCAGAGACCCCUCUCUGUAUAUGAAGUAAGGAAUCUCCUCUGUGGGCUAUUGAAUCUCCUACCCCAGCUUCUCUCGAUUCGGGUGGCCUGCGUUACUAAAGGACAGCUCACCUGAAGUCCGCUGCCAUGCUUCUCUGUAGAGCAUGGGAAGAACUUGACAACGAGGGAGAAGAAAAGUAGACAAAACUUAGGAAGUCUCAUUUCGAGGGACAGCAAUGGCUCUGGGGGUAAAGGAACUUGUCACUCAAGCCUGACGGCCUGAGUUGAAACCCAGUGUGCAAGGAGAGAACUGACUCCCAGAAACUGUUGUGUGACUCCGCACACACGCCAAGAGCACAAACUUCCUGCGCACACACAGUACGGCUGAUAAAUGAAAACAUUUUAAAAAGAAGAAGUCUCCUUUCUAAUGAGAAUUCUGGGGAUAGGAUGAGAAAAAAACAGAGCAGCAGAUGUUAUCAAAGAGAUAAAGGAGAAAAUAUCAUUCCGAAGUGUAAAUAAACCACAUACUGAAUGUAGAAAUCCAACGUCAUUGCACAUAUAGAGUCCCGGGACACAGAGGGGAUCCUGAAGGUUUAGAAGCCAGUAGGAACCUGGAGGUUGGGGACACAGACCCCAAAGAAGGCUGGGAGUCAGUGUGGCAUCAAGAAUUAUACUGAAAGCAGAUGGCAAGGUAGAGUAACAUUCCAAACUUCUAGUGAGGAUUAUAAAUCAACCACGGCAAGAGUAAGCAGAGAAUGAAGAGGUUUCUGACUGGUUGGCUGGCUGGCUGGCUGGUAGGGGUGGGGUGUUUGUUGUUGUUAUUGUUGUUUCUGUUUAUCAGAAGAGUUUUAAGAAGCUGAGGAUGUCGCUCCACUGAGAAUGUUGUCUCUCGUGCGUGAAGUCCUGCGUUAGAUCACCAACCCCAUAUGAACCUGGCAUAAGGAGGCUUACCCCUCUCAGCACUGGAGAGGUGGAGGCAGAAGGAUUAUCCUUGGCCACUCAGUGAGCUGGAACUCAGCCCUGAAGUCCAUAAGAUUCUGUCUCAAAACAAAACAAAACAAAAAACAAAAAAAACCUCAGAAGCAAUUAUCUCUCAGGCAUCCCGUCUCAGAAACUACACUGGAAAUUAUGCUCUGUUGAAAUAUGGCAACAAAAUAAGACAGUGAGAUGGAGUCAGAGAUGGGAGAGAUAAGAAUUCUCAGGAGCUCAGCAAAGGAAAAGAGCAAGAAACUAGGCAGCUGACCAAGAGACCGGCCAACUCUGAAUAUAGGGUCAGAGGACCCAAGAGGAUGUCUGAUUGGGAAAGUACACACCCGAUGGGUUGGUAGUUAUCAGUGGGGUGAAAGCUCUGAGCAGUGUUUCAGAGCUCUGGAGACAUGGGAGAGAGUUUGGCUGUUACCAGACAAACAAAAGCCCCCCAAAGAGGCAAUCAUUAGCUCCAGGAGAGACAAGAAAAAUUCUAUUAAGUGUAAGGAUUAAUGUGUAAUUAGAGAGUAUCACUCUGCUUAGCAGUAAACAGUAUUUAUGCAACCGUUGCUUCAGAAAACAAUAGUGCAAGAAAACAGGCUGCCAAAGGCAGGGAGAAGCAGCAGGAAACCAGACUGAGGCAGGCACUCUCAGGACUGUGUUGUGUCAAAUGCAAUUCAUCAGUGAGGACCGAAGUGUGUUUUGAGUAGCAACAAAACACGAUCUCCACUGCCCAAGGCAGGAGGGAGGGGACUCGCCAGUGAGCAAGGCAGAGUAGUCUAGAACCAACUGAAAUAGGCUUGGCCUUCUUAUCAGGCAUCGGCUGAGAACUCACUGGUGUCAUCAAGCAUGGUGGUGCACACCUGCCAUCCCAGGUCUUGACAGACAGAAAAUUAUGAGUUUGAAGCCAGCCAGCAUCUCAGGGAGAAGGAGGGAGGCCAAGAUGGAAGUGGAUGAACAGGAAGAAGAACCUGAACCAGCGUGGCUUUAAUUAGCCGCAGGUAGUUAUGAUAGGAAAGAUAGAAUCAUUGGUAUAUUUGUCUAAUCUAGGUGGGCAGCUUUUAUCAUUAUCAAUUGGUUCUGAAAUUAUUGUAUUGGCAUCCUGUGAAUUGUGAAUUUAUUGAUAUAUAAAUCUGUUUGGUUAAUUAU